rnacentral:rRNA from 1 species
UACGAAGGGGCUAGCGUUGCUCGGAAUCACUGGGCGUAAAGGGUGCGUAGGCGGGUCUUUAAGUCAGGGGUGAAAUCCUGGAGCUCAACUCCAGAACUGCCUUUGAUACUGAAGAUCUUGAGUUCGGGAGAGGUGAGUGGAACUGCGAGUGUAGAGGUGAAAUUCGUAGAUAUUCGCAAGAACACCAGUGGCGAAGGCGGCUCACUGGCCCGAUACUGACGCUGAGGCACGAAAGCGUGGGAGCAAACAGG